UACGAAGGGUGCAAGCGUUACUCGGAAUUACUGAGCGUAAAGCGUGCGUAGGCGGUUCGUUAAGUCCGUUGUGAAAGCCCUGGGCUCAACCUGGGAAUGGCAGUGGAUACUGGCGAGCUAGAGUGUGAUAGAGGAUGGUGGAAUUCCCGGUGUAGCGGUGAAAUGCGUAGAUAUCAGUCGGAACACCAAUGGCGAAGGCAGUGCCCUGGCCGACGGCUGACGCUCAGGCGCGAAAGCGUGGGGAGCAAACAGG
rnacentral:rRNA from 1 species